rnacentral:lncRNA from 10 species
GCUCAGUGUGAGAAACAUGCUCAGCCGUCCAAACCCAAAGAAUGGACUUAGAGGCAUGAAGAACAGCUCUCCUAAUCAUUCCCCGCUUCUCCUGUGAACAGGAUAUUCAUGACAGACAUCAUUUCAGCCCAGGUAUAAAAGCUGGGUUCCAGGAAUUGGUCUGCUAAAUGGCUGGGAUCUUGUAGGAGUGGUUUCAUUUGCUUCUUGAAAUUCCUAACUUCAGUUCUUGUAAGAGGAGCAUUUACAAAGCCAAUUUUUCCUUGUCCCAUGGGAACUUGCGUAAGCGUGAACAUGCUAGAUGCCUGCUGUGUGGAAGGGAUAGUGACAGAAACGUCCAUUUUGCUAAUCUUCAAAGAGCCCACCUUCGC